rnacentral:rRNA from 1 species
UGCCCGGAUGUAACACAGCAACACCCUGCUCGCCAAAUAACUACGAGUGAAAACUUAAAACUUAAAGGACUUGACGGUACUUCACACCCAACCUAGAGGAGCCUGUCUAUUAACCGAUAAUCCACGAUUAACCCGACCGCUUCUAGCCACCCAGCCUAUAUACCACCGUCGCCAGCCUACCUUGUAAAAGAAACAAAGUAAGCUAAACAGUACUACACUAACACGACAGGUCAAGGUGUAACUAAUGAAACGGAUUAAGAUGGGCUACAUUCUCUAACCCAGAUUACACGAACAAGAUUAUGAAACUAAUCUUUAAAGGCGGAUUUAGCAGUAAGCUGAGAACAAAAUACUCACCUGAAACCAAUGCAAUGAAGUGCGUACACACCGCCCGUCACCCUCUGCAGUCACUUUA